CGCUUGUUUUGAACGCGUGCACUGAAGGCCAGCAGAAGGAAAUGCUCGCUAAGGAAUCUCACAAAUAAUGUGCAUUUUAUCAACUGGUGUUUGUACUGACCGAGUAGGAACCGGUGCAGAACUUCUGACGAUGUUUCAAACGCACAGACGAAGCUGAAACCGAGAAGACAAGAGGUUUGCGGCGAUGUUCCGGCGGUUGCCGCGGCGGCCCAGAGCGCGAGCGACCCGGCCGAGGCGGGGACCUUACUGAAAGUUUCUUUCCGGAGGAACCCACAUCUUAAACACAAGUACCUCGAGGCAGAACCCAAGAUUUUAGGGGGCAUUAUUUCUGGCAGUUUGGCCAUAGCAGCACAGAAGCUUCACUUGCCAACACUUAAGGCUUGUUUGGGAAUGCAGGUGGUCACAUGUAUGGCAUAUAUCUUCUGUCUUCUGGGAACAUUAACUGAGCCAUAUUUAUACACCGUUUGCUUCUGGCAUCACAUCAAGAUGAAACAUGGAAACACAUGUAUACAAUUGGAGGAGGUCCUGGACAUCUCCUUCUGAUGCAUGGUAUUAUGGAUUCUAACAAAUAUCAACAGAUAAAAGAUCUAAAGCUGACUGCCUCUGUUAGAAAUGUUUUGAUGGACCAUGGUUGGAUUUUCCAUUGGGACAAUAAUCCAAAACAAUCCAAAAUCAACACAAAAAUGGAAGGGAUAUGCUGUACUGUGUUUCUUAGAUGAGCUCACAGAGGUGACUCAGAUUGUCCUCUCCCUCACAAUAGCUGCAUACUGCUGCAAGGCGAUUCCUUGCUGUUCUUCCGGAUCUAAUGUGGUAAGCAAUGUUCAUUUUAUAGAUCCUUUGAUGCUGGCGAGCAGUAUUGACCAAGCACAGUUCUCGAAUGUAAACGGUUUCUAUUUUUUAGCCCGUCGUCGUUAUGGCGCCACCCACGGAUACGCAAUGAAAGGGAGAGUGUGUGCACCUUAAGGCUAAUACUAAUAUAACUCGAUCUUAGAACACAUUAUGAGAUACUAAUACAUUAUACCAUAGUCAAGCUUAUCACUGAUAUAGUUUUAUUCAAGUAUUUUGAGAGCAUUAAAACAUCUAAUCUUUAGUCCUAAAAAAGAUGCAGAAUGUAUACCUAUUUCUGAAUUAACAGGAAUAAUGUAUAUUUGCAAUAUGAAUUAAUAUUUUAAUCAGCUUUACAAUACAACACAUAAAACUUAUACUGUAUGUUUUCCGAUUCAUGUACUGAAUUCACUGGUGUAUGGACAUUGUCAAUACUUAAAUGAAAGGUUAUUAUAAUUGAAUAAACAUAAGUCUUUUUUUACUCGCCUUUACGACAUUCCAAACCCAUUUCUUUCAUCGGUGGAAGAAUGAAGAAUGCUGGGAACCCAACUAAAUUGGAACCCACUGACUUCUAUUGUACAACGUAGACCAAAAAACAGCUUGGAACAAUGUUGUAAAAUUGUAUGACACUUAACAUAAAAGGGGUGUGCAUUAUUUUGAUGUGGAAUAUUGCUUUAAGCCAAUGGGGAAAAAAUGAACAGCAAUGCUAUUAAUGUAU